UGGGGAAUAUUACACAAUGGGCGGAAGCCUGAUGCAGCAACGCCGCGUGAGGGACGACGGCCUUCGGGUUGUAAACCUCUUUUAGCAGGGAAGAAGCGUGAGUGACGGUACCUGCAGAAAAAGCACCGGCUAACUACGUGCCAGCAGCCGCGGUAAUACGUAGGGUGCAAGCGUUAUCCGGAAUUAUUGGGCGUAAAGAGCUCGUAGGCGGUUUGUCGCGUCUGCUGUGAAAUCCCGAGGCUCAACCUCGGGCCUGCAGUGGGUACGGGCAGACUAGAGUGCGGUAGGGGAGAUUGGAAUUCCUGGUGUAGCGGUGGAAUGCGCAGAUAUCAGGAGUAACACCGAUGGCGAAGGCAGAUCUCUGGGCCGUAACUGACGCUGAGGAGCGAAAGGGUGGGGAGCAAACA
rnacentral:rRNA from 1 species